rnacentral:lncRNA from 1 species
GCCAGGCCAGGCGCGAGCUCCUCCCGUGCGGGUCCGUCACAGCAUCUCCCGGGAGACGUAGUCGACACGGGCCGGGAUCACACCCCUCCGCCCGGCUGAAGCCGCUCCUCUGCGCUUCGGCCGCCGCCUGAGACCUCCCCGGCCACCUCAGAGCCACACGCCCCCGAGAGUGCCUUCGCGGGCUGUAGGCCUGCAGACCGCUCAGCGGCUAAAACGGAGUCGCUGCUCCCGCCGCGGUGCUGGCUCCUUCCCCUUGCAACGCUGCCUGCUCGCCACGGACAGCGCCGGCCCGGCUCUGCGUAUUACCCUGCGCCGACAAAACCGAGUUCCACACGCCCCGGAAGGGAGGGAGCGGAGGAAAAGGGCGAAGAGGGAGGGGAGAAUCGGGAGAGAUCGCGGCUGCAGGGACCAGAGUUCUCGCGAUGGUUCCGCGCUCGAGCGCCGGUUCCGCGGGAAUUUUCAAACUCUCGAUCUGAAACAGUAUCUCCAACUUCGUGUCAGCCUUCAACUCCCCCGAGACCAUCAGGCGCCCACAGGCCAAAACAUCCAGAGUGGGCCAUGUGCUAUUCUAGACCAGACUCCUAACACAAAUGCAACAGGUUCCCAACAGUGA